rnacentral:rRNA from 1 species
GCUCCUACGGGGCGCAGCAGUAGGGAAUUUUCGUCAAUGGGCGCAAGCCUGAACGAGCAAUGCCGCGUGAGUGAGGAAGGUCUUCGGAUCGUAAAGCUCUGUUGCGGGGGAAAAAGGACAGGAAGAGGAAAUGCUUUCUGUUUGAUGGUACCCCGCCAGAAAGUCACGGCUAACUACGUGCCAGCAGCCGCGGUAAUACGUAGGUGGCGAGCGUUAUCCGGAAUGAUUGGGCGUAAAGGGUGCGUAGGCGGUCGAUUAAGUCUGGAGUGAAAGGUACCGGCUCAACCGGUAUAGGCUCCGGAAAC